rnacentral:lncRNA from 1 species
GCCGACGUUAUCAAAUUGAUUGCUGGGACCCAUCGGGCCAAUCCCAACGUUAGAUCGGUAAGUAGUGAACUUUAGUUCUUUGUGUCGCCAGUAGAUGGCGUACCACGGCAGUUAGAUAACAUUUUUUUGGGGGUUCCAACAAUAUCGCCGGUAUAAAUUUAUUAUGGUCAAACUGGAUGGACGCCACUGUAACGGGUGUCGGGGAAAAUUUCGGGAGUUUUUCGGUAAUAACGGGAAAUUUUUUUGGGGGAGGAACAAUUGGCCAAGGUAGCGUUUUGCCGGCGAUUAUUCGCCGUCAUUGGCAGCUCACUUAACACCUCUGGUAGCAUUAAAACACACACCCACCUUCAUGCACUUUCAUCAGCUACUCAUUAUGAUGGAAAUAGAGCGGGUGACUGGGCAAUACGACUAAAAUUGAAACUGGAACGACAUCCCAUCGAUCCGGAACGGGAUUACGUGGAAAGAGAGGAUCGUUGGGUGGACUGUCCCGACCUCAGCUGGACUGAUUUCCAUUUAAUUUGUGUGCACCGCUCGCGGGAUCUUGUAUUAACUUUCACGACAUCGAUCCGAAUAGUUGCAUCUAAGCCCUUAACCGUUCGUCCUGUCGUGUCGUCUUCGCUCCACCCGCAUCCGCCUGGAAAUCCCCACCGAGAAAAUGAAUUGAAUCUGCCGACCGCCAAUAGGAAUUGCGGCCCUUCAAAGCCCUUAGAUUUGUUAAAACUUGUUUUGCCAGGACGGGAAUAAAAGACGCUCUUCGGUAAUAAAGAGCAGCUUAUAUUCUUUUUGUUUUUAGUUUUUUUUCUUCUUCUUCGUUUUUCUUCCGUCUUAAAAACACACUCGGUUCUUUUGUGGGGAAAAAGUUUAGUGGGAUAUAAGGUGCGACCCGCUUGGAGGGAGAGAGAGAGAAGAGGCGUGGUCGGCUAAUUAAAACUCCGCCCACGCCGGAGACGGUGUUGCCCUUUACUUUGCACUAGCAGAACUGCCACCCACUCGAUAAUUAUAUCGUUGGACAGUUUGGGGACGACUGGCAAGUUUUUCGACCACCCCUGGUCUCUAAUGAAGUUUGUUCUGACUCGGUGUCAUUAUCGGCCGGCAGUUGCCCCUUCUGUUAGGGGGGACAUCUAUCAUUCUCAGACAAUGGCAGGCUCCCCCACUUUCAUUUCUCUAUCCGGGGUUUGCUGUAAAAUCGACCGUACAGCGGUAGUUUUUCGAAAGAAUUCGAUCGCCACACGAGUAUCGGCUGCUUUUCAUCCGCACUCGCUCCAUUAAGGCUCAAAGGCUCGUUUCAGACAGUUUAUUUGAAUAAAAUUUCGGGUCGGAUGACCUACUGAAGGGGUAUUUCCCUCGAAAUUCCCUGAACUCUUUUAAUCUCUCUAAGUGGGAAUCUCUAUACUAGUGUUGAAUGUGCAUCACACCGAUAUAAGCUAAAAUGUAAAAAUAUACGAUAUAAGUCUUUAAAAAAAUGUUUUUCACUUAUCUUAUAGGAUUAUACCGUUUUAAUCAAAACGAGAUGUGCUGGAACUCGUUUAAAUUCUAUACGUCUACAUUUCGGUUUCUGGAACAUCCUGUUUUAGAAGAUAUGCGGCAUCGUUAGGAGACUUCAUUCCAUUCGAUUCUGUCUCGAAUGUUUUCCGUUAGAAGGGUGUCAAAACAUUCCCGUUUUACGGGAUGCACUUAAUCAUGCUUCUUGUUUUUGCAACAUCAUCUAUAAGGCUCCCCGGUGGCUGCAUUCUUUGCAAUUUUAACACCGAACGUUUCUCGUCUUGCCUUGUUAAACAUAACCCAUCGGAAACGAUGCAUCCAAGUAAAUAAUAAUCGCGUAAUUUAAUCGUGUCCUCUGCUCGUAUAGAUAAAUUAAACGACGUUUUUCCAAGAAUUUUUACCUUAUUCCACAGUUUACUCCGUGAGGAAACUGCCACACAGGUUUAUAAGUGAUGCAGGAAAAGCGUGGUCAACUGUCUCAGGGGCUAGAUGAAACCAAUCACACUCCCCACUCUCUCAUUUCUGAGUUUUGCGCGACAUCAUUAAGUAUUAAAGAUCAAAAUAUACGUUUAUUCGCUAACAAAAUUUGUAUUAAAUUUAAUAUUCCGUUGGAAAAGAGACUGGAAACGAAACCAAAUCAGGUGAUAUUGCUUUUCGUCGUCGAAGUUUCAAAAUAGAGGGGUUUUCUCCUGCCUUGAUUGACAUUUGGAGAGAUUUAUCCCGGUGAAACCGUGUAAUCUAAUGGCGGCAGAUUGUUGGGCGAUAAGCUCCCUGCGACAGAUGUUCGACCAACUGUAAAGGUUUAUCUUAACAGUAUAACGGCGGAGAAAAUAAAACUUUAUAAAACAUUUUUUAUUAAAAAAAUCCAUUCGACAGUAGACAGUCGACUUAAAUACUGUUCUCUCGGAAUCCUAAACGUUAUAUUUUUUAUGCAAGAGUUGCCAGAAUCGCCAAACGAAAAUACAGUACAUAGCAAAUGCAUUUUUCAAAGUGUCGAUAUGAUCGAACUAGAAUCUAAAGGACUGUAUACGUAUUGUAUGUCUGUAUGGAAGCUAAUAAACUACAAGAGAAGACGCUUAGAUGUAAAUAGCUUGCAUGGUUCACGACAAGAUUUCCAUUUAAACAGCAAUUCGAUAAAUUAUAUUGAAUUCUAGGCAUCGCACUUUAAACCGACUUCUAUAUUCUAAAGAGAAAUGCCCUCUCGUCCUAAUAUUUUGUGUUUAACCAUCCGUUUUGUCGCUUCCAUCCAGUUAUAUGAACCCCCUAACAGUCUGCCAAUUUGGAUUCUUUUCUAAUUUUUCCCGAUUCUAUACCUAUAUUUGAAGUCGAACUUAAUGCAUACACACGUCAAUCACAUUGACUAGGAUAAGGAUCAGUGUCAGUCUGGAAUUUAAUAAAGCUACCGUUUUCUCUCUUUUUUUUUUUUUCCUUUCCCCAAUCAUUGCGGACUUGCGGUGACACGUUGUUCUCCUGUGGACCUCCUGCACCGACCACCGUCACUUCAAUGACUUCUCGUUUCACGAACCAGCACGUAAGUACAAACAGCUUGUCUUUUGUAUUGUAUCUGCUGUCAGAGAUUGGAUAGAGCAACGGAUUAGUCCGUUCUUUGUCGGAUUAUAUUAGCUGUAGCGGUAAACAAUGUGUUACCGCUGCACCGCAUUUCUGUUAUACAUUAAUAUCAAUAAAAAUUUCUAAUGAUUUCUUUUUUUUUUAUUUUCAUGUUUUCCAUCUGUUUUUGUCUUCGCCGAAUAGGGAGUGAGUAUGUUUUUCUACGUUAUCUCUUUAAAAUGCUCCAUACAGUUUGAUCUGCUGAAAUGCACUUUGCUUCUAGAGUUGAUUCAAAUAGUAAAAACUGAUUUUCCUUUUAUCAUCUCAAAGAAUCAGAGUAUCCUGUCAUUUCUGUCUCUCC